rnacentral:rRNA from 1 species
UACAGAGGUCCAGAGCGUUGUUCGGAUUUAUUGGGCGUAAAGGGUGCGUAGGCGGCGGAGUAAGUUGGGUGUGAAAUCCCGGGGCUUAACCUCGGAAUUGCAUUCAAUACUGCUUCGCUCGAGUACUGGAGAGGAGGCUGGAAUUUACGGUGUAGCAGUGAAAUGCGUAGAUAUCGUAAGGAAGGCCGGUGGCGAAAGCGAGCCUCUGGACAGUUACUGACGCUGAUGCACGAAGGCCAGGGGAGCAAACGGG